rnacentral:piRNA from 1 species
UAGAUCCAGGAAAUGGAGAAUGAGCCGUGAA